rnacentral:rRNA from 1 species
UACGUAGGGAGCAAGCGUUGUCCGGAAUUAUUGGGCGUAAAGAGCUCGUAGGCGGCUUGUCACGUCUGCUGUGAAAUCCCGGGGCUCAACCCCGGGCGUGCAGUGGAUACGGGCUGGCUAGAGGCAGGCAGGGGAGAACGGAAUUCCCGGUGUAGCGGUGAAAUGCGCAGAUAUCGGGAGGAACACCGGUGGCGAAGGCGGUUCUCUGGGCCAUUACUGACGCUGAGGAGCGAAAGCGUGGGGAGCGAACAGG